GAUAUAUAUAUAUAUAUAUAUAAAAUGUAUACAAAUGUAGAUAUGCCAUUGCUUAUUAAAAUACUGAAAGAUCACAACUAGAUACUUUUACAGGGUGCUGGAGAAGAAAUAUAUAUUUUUGGCAAUUUUAGCUUUUUAUACUUAACUUGCAGUUACAAAAUAUGAAACAUAAUACAAAAAAACUAUAAAAACAUUUGUAGAAUAGUACAGCGAAAGGUGGUAAAGAAAUAUUGCGUGACUUUGGAUACUAUUGGCCAGGGGGGGGAAAAAACAGACCAAAAUAGUCAAACCUUUUGGAGGAACUGCAUGACGUGAGAAGAGAAGAGUACAGUUAGAGAGAUAAGUGCCUUAGUUACUGAUGGUCGUUUCUUUUUCCGAGUGUUACUUUGUUCAAUAAUAUCCAGCACCAACUAGGAUAGCGCAGAGCGAGGGAGGGUUUGUGAAGAGGAAGCACCCCAAGAGUUAAACCACGAGGCUGUUGCAGUGUUGUGCCACUGAAUCUAUUCUAUGCAAAGGAAUAGCAGUCAUUUGACCAGCUAACAAUGUGCCAUGAUUCGUCUUCCCAAAAUUGAGUUGAAGUCUUGUUGUUUUUCCUUUAAUCCCCAUUUGAACAAAGUGUUUAUUUUCUCUUUAUUAUUCUUAUAUUAUGAGGACAAAAUCAGCAAUGCUGUCUAUGUAUUUGGUUACUGUGAUUUUUGUCAAGAACUGCCAGUCAUGAUGUGGAAGUCUGCCAGGUGUUUUAGAAGGGAGAUUUCAAAUGAAUUGGACUUCACCUGAAACCUCCUCUUGUUUCAAGAUUUGCAAACUGGAAGCUUUCAAUCAUAUUUGCCAAAACAUACUCUUAUUUUAUGCCAAGGAAGUGUUUUUGCUUUUUGUUUUAAAAGACUGGAAGAAAGAAAGGAAGAGGGAAAACGUAUUCCGCUUACUUUGGGAAAGCCUUUUUGGUGUUUCACAAAGGAUAGAUGUAGCUUUACUGUGCACUGAUCUGAAAGAAGCAAGUAAUGGGUGGAUAGGGAAAAUAUAGCAUUUACUCAAAGUAUUACUGAGAGGAAGGUCACUGGGAUAUUCAUGUGCUGCCACAUCAGUGCCAAACCCGAACAGUCACAGAAGAGCCAGAGUAUCAAAUCACACGCUAAAGAUCCGAUUCGCCCUGAGCAGUUUUCAGUCGUUGAAACAAUCGGAGGUGUUCAUCACAUUGAAUAAGAUUACAUUCAACUUUGUGUCCUGUAACCCUGGCAGUCUCUAAUGUAGUCUUGUUCACUUUUGUUACAAAAAAAGGUCAAUGUCUUUUUUUUCCUCUUCUCAGUGUUAAAUACAUGUUUUUUUAAACAUAUUGAAAUAAUGAAAUGCAAUAUUAGAUAGGAGCAAAGACCGACUACAGAGAAAUGGACAGUAUUAAACGAAUCCCCUCUGCCAUGUUACUACGUGCUGUUAAUGUUUUGAAGUUGGGUUUAGUCUAUCAGGUGUAUGGAGAAAUCUGUUCUCUUCCGCCUGCCUACUACAUGUGUAAUAAUGUCAAUUACAGCCAUUGUUACAGGUUUCUAAUGUAUUUUUCUAACUUCAUUUUCUAUGUACAAGUCUUUUUUUUUCUGAUGAAACCCACUACACCUUUAUUUUUUUCAUGUCCUCUCUCCUCCUCCGCCCUCCCUCUCAACCCACUCUUUACUCAGAUCUGUCUCUCAUUGGGAGCGUUGCCUUUUCCUACAGUUAUUUUGUUUUCUUGCUGAUUCUUUAGCUUGUUUAACUCAUUAGCAACUUAUUAGUUCUUGUCAUAGGUAUUUUUACAUGCUUGCAUUUAGUUUUUAUGGUGUAUGCUGUUAUUUUGUUUCUUAUUAACCUCCUUGGCAUUUAUUUUAAUAAACAUUCUUAGUAAGAAUUUUACUAACUUUGCUGAUA